GAAGCUUCACUUGCGGAACCCAACACACGGGCAAAAGUAAAAGUGAAAUAAUAUAAAAUCACGAGCAUAUGGGCCGGUGAUUGGCCUACGUCCUGCAGGCUGCAGCAGCAGGAAGACCACGCGGAUCCCGAUUCGGAGUUGUACUUCUCAUCGUGUAUUUAUUCAACAGGCUAACACUGUGGAGGGUCCUAGCAGUGAAAUGUUAUCCGCAAGAAGUUAUAAAGGGAUUUUUUUUCUAAAGUAGAAAGUUGCGGCGGAAAAAGAUUAACAAAUUAAAAACAGAGAAGUCAAGGAAGGCUAUCUUUGUUGCUUCCGGGGAAUGCAUGCACGGGCGAGCGUCCUACAUAUGGAACAGAAAAUCCUCGAAUCCAAACUGCUCAAGUACAUAACAAAUACAAGACUUAUUGGAUAUCUAGAUCAGCUUAGAAUCUAAGAACCCUUGUUUGCACGGUCAUUUAGUAUUUAUUUGUUACUAGAGAGAGGAACAAUGUAUGUGGCCGUGGCAAAUAGAAAUCCAAUCUGACCAUUGGUUCCAAAAA